GGGGAGUGAAAAAGAACCUGAAACCGUGUACGUACAAGCAGUGGGAGCACGCUUAGGCGUGUGACUGCGUACCUUUUGUAUAAUGGGUCAGCGACUUAUAUUCUGUAGCAAGGUUAACCGAAUAGGGGAGCCGAAGGGAAACCGAGUCUUAACUGGGCGUUAAGUUGCAGGGUAUAGACCCGAAACCCGGUGAUCUAGCCAUGGGCAGGUUGAAGGUUGGGUAACACUAACUGGAGGACCGAACCGACUAAUGUUGAAAAAUUAGCGGAUGACUUGUGGCUGGGGGUGAAAGGCCAAUCAAACCGGGAGAUAGCUGGUUCUCCCCGAAAGCUAUUUAGGUAGCGCCUCGUGAAUUCAUCUCCGGGGGUAGAGCACUGUUUCGGCAAGGGGGUCAUCCCGACUUACCAACCCGAUGCAAACUGCGAAUACCGGAGAAUGUUAUCACGGGAGACACACGGCGGGUGCUAACGUCCGUCGUGAAGAGGGAAACAACCCAGACCGCCAGCUAAGGUCCCAAAGUCAUGGUUAAGUGGGAAACGAUGUGGGAAGGCCCAGACAGCCAGGAUGUUGGCUUAGAAGCAGCCAUCAUUUAAAGAAAGCGUAAUAGCUCACUGGUCGAGUCGGCCUGCGCGGAAGAUGUAACGGGGCUAAACCAUGCAC
rnacentral:rRNA from 1 species